UACGUAGGUGGCAAGCGUUGUCCGGAUUUAUUGGGCGUAAAGAGCGUGUAGGCGGCCAGGUAGGUCAGCUGUGAAAACUCGAGGCUCAACCUCGAGACGUCGGUUGAAACCAUCUGGCUAGAGUCCGGAAGAGGAGAGUGGAAUUCCUGGUGUAGCGGUGAAAUGCGCAGAUAUCAGGAAGAACACCCGUGGCGAAGGCGGCUCUCUGGGACGGUACUGACGCUGAGACGCGAAAGCGUGGGGAGCGAACAGG
rnacentral:rRNA from 1 species